rnacentral:rRNA from 1 species
CCUACGGGAGACAGCAGUGGGGAAUAUUGCACAAUGGGGGAAACCCUGAUGUAGCGACGCCGCGUGAGUGACGCAGUAUUUCGGUAUGUAAAGCUCUAUCAGCAGGGCAGAAAAUGACGGUACCUGAUUACGAAACCCCGGCUAACGACGUGCCCGCCGACGCGGUAAUACGUGAGGGGAAAGCAGUAUCCGGAUUUACUGGGUGUAAAGGGAGCGUAGACGGCAGCGCAAGUCUGAAGUGAAAGGCCGGGGCUGAACCCCGGAAAUGCUUUGGCAACUGUGCAGCUAGAGUGCAGUAGAGGUAAGUGGAAUUCCUAGUGUAGCGGUGAAAUGCGUAGAUAUUAGGAGGAACACCAGUGGCGAAGGCGGCUUACUGGACUGUAACUGACGUUGAGGCUCGAAAGCGUGGGGAGCAAACAGGAUUAGAUACCCGAGUAGUC